rnacentral:rRNA from 1 species
ACGCUGCGGCAGGCUUAAUACAUGCAAGUCGAGGGGUAACAUGGGUAACAAUACCUGAUGACGACCGGCAAACGGGUGCGGAACACGUACGCAACCUUCCCAUAACUGGUGAAUAGCCUUUCGAAAGAGAGAUUAAUACACCGUAACAUAACGAGUAGGCAUCUACUUGUUAUUAUAGGCUUCGGCCGGUUUUGGAUGGGCGUGCGCCUGAUUAGGUAGUUGGCGGGGUAACGGCCCACCAAGCCUGCGAUCAGUAACUGGUGUGAGAGCACGACCAGUCACACGGGCACUGAGACACGGGCCCGACUCCUACGGGAGGCAGCAGUAAGGAAUAUUGGUCAAUGGACGAAAGUCUGAACCAGCCAUGCCGCGUGAAGGAUGAAGGCCCUCUGGGUUGUAAACUUCUUUUAUCUGGGACGAAAAAAGCUCAUUCUUGAGCACUUGACGGUACCAGAGGAAUAAGCACCGGCUAACUCCGUGCCAGCAGCCGCGGUAAU